AUAUUGCGCAAUGGGGGAAACCCUGACGCAGCAACGCCGCGUGAAGGAAGAAGGCCUUCGGGUUGUAAAGCCCUUUCAGUGGUGAAGAUGAUGACGGUAACCACAGAAGAAGCUCCGGCUAACUUCGUGCCAGCAGCCGCGGUAAUACGAAGGGGGCGAGCGUUGUUCGGAAUCACUGGGCUUAAAGAGUACGUAGGCGGUCGCACAAGUCAGGAGUGAAAUCCCGGGGCUCAACCCCGGAAUUGCUUUUGAAACUAUGUGGCUAGUGUCCCGGAGAGGUUGGCGGAAUUCCGAGUGUAGAGGUGAAAUUCGCAGAUAUUCGGAGGAACACCAGUGGCGAAGGCGGCCAACUGGACGGGUACAGACGCUGAGGUACGAAAGCGUGGGGAUCAAACAGG
rnacentral:rRNA from 1 species